rnacentral:rRNA from 1 species
GACGAACGCUGGCGGCGUGCUUAACACAUGCAAGUCGAACGAUGACGACCGACUUUGCUCGGUGUGAUUAGUGGCGAAGGGGUGUGUAACACGUGAGCAAUCUGCUCUUCACUCUGGGAAAACCGCGGGAAAGCGGGGCUAAUACCGUAUAUGAGCUCCCGUCGUAUGGCGGUGGUUGGAAAGUUUGUCGGUGAUGGAUGGGCUCGCGGCCUAUCUGUUUGUUGGUGAGGUAGGGGCUCACCAAGGCGAUGACGGGUAGCCGGCCUGAGAGGGCGACCGGCCACACUGGGACUGAGACACGGCCCAGACUCCUACGGGAGGCAGCAGUGGGGAAUAUUGCACAAUGGGCGCAAGCCUGAUGCAGCGACGCCGCGUGAGGGAUGACGGCCUUCGGGUUGUAAACCUCUUUCAGCAGGGAAGAAGCGAAAGUGACGGUACCUGCAGAAGAAGCGCCGGCUAACUACGUG